rnacentral:rRNA from 1 species
CCCUGGCUCAGAUUGAACGCUGGCGGCAGGCCUAACACAUGCAAGUCGAGCGGUAGAGAGAAGCUUGCUUCUCUUGAGAGCGGCGGACGGGUGAGUAAUGCCUAGGAAUCUGCCUGGUAGUGGGGGAUAACGCUCGGAAACGGACGCUAAUACCGCAUACGUCCUACGGGAGAAAGCAGGGGACCUUCGGGCCUUGCGCUAUCAGAUGAGCCUAGGUCGGAUUAGCUAGUUGGUGAGGUAAUGGCUCACCAAGGCGACGAUCCGUAACUGGUCUGAGAGGAUGAUCAGUCACACUGGAACUGAGACACGGUCCAGACUCCUACGGGAGGCAGCAGUGGGGAAUAUUGGACAAUGGGCGAAAGCCUGAUCCAGCCAUGCCGCGUGUGUGAAGAAGGUCUUCGGAUUGUAAAGCACUUUAAGUUGGGAGGAAGGGCAGUAAAUUAAUACUUUGCUGUUUUGACGUUACCGACAGAAUAAGCACCCGGCUACU